AGAGUUUGAUCCUGGCUCAGAAUCAACGCUGGCGCGCGCCUAACACAUGCAAGUCGAACGAGAAAGUCCGCAAGGAUGAGUACAGUGGCGUACGGGUGAGUAACACGUGGAUAAUCUACCCUCUUGUGGGGAAUACCGUUGGGAAAUCGACGACAAUACCGCAUAAGCUCGAGAGAGGAAAGCAGCAAUGCGCAGGAGGA
rnacentral:rRNA from 1 species